CAGUCGCCGCGGGAAUACGGAGGGUGCAAGCGUUAAUCGGAAUUACUGGGCGUAAAGCGCACGCAGGCGGUUUGUUAAGUCAGAUGUGAAAUCCCCGAGCUUAACUUGGGAACUGCAUUUGAAACUGGCAAGCUAGAGUCUUGUAGAGGGGGGUAGAAUUCCAGGUGUAGCGGUGAAAUGCGUAGAGAUCUGGAGGAGUACCGGUGGCGAAGGCGGCCCCCUGGACAAAGACUGACGCUCAGGUGCGAAAGCGUGGGGAGCAAACAGGAUUAGAUACCCCUGUAGUCCCUGUCUCUUAUAC
rnacentral:rRNA from 1 species